rnacentral:rRNA from 1 species
GGACCCAAUCUCAAAAAGGCAUGUCAGUUCGGAUUGCAUUCUGCAACUCGAGCGCAUGAAGUAGAAAUCGCUAGUAAUCGAGGAUCAGCAUGCCUCGGUGAAUACGUUCCCGGGGCCUUGUACACACCGCCCGUGGGGCGGGGGCGGCGGGCCGGGCGCGGGGCGCGCCGGGCGAAGGGCGAAUUCGCGGCCGCU